AAACCAACUGGGAUUACCUUAGUAACGGCGAGUGAAGCGGUAAAAGCUCAAAUUUGAAAUCUGGUACUUUCAGUGCCCGAGUUGUAAUUUGUAGAAUUUGUCUUUGAUUAGGUCCUUGUCUAUGUUCCUUGGAACAGGACGUCAUAGAGGGUGAGAAUCCCGUUUGGCGAGGAUACCUUUUCUCUGUAAGACUUUUUCGAAGAGUCGAGUUGUUUGGGAAUGCAGCUCAAAGUGGGUGGUAAAUUCCAUCUAAAGCUAAAUAUUGGCGAGAGACCGAUAGCGAACAAGUACAGUGAUGGAAAGAUGAAAAGAACUUUGAAAAGAGAGUGAAAAAGUACGUGAAAUUGUUGAAAGGGAAGGGCAUUUGAUCAGACAUGGUGUUUUGCGCCCUUUGCUCCUUGUGGGCGAGGAUACGCAGCUCACUGGGCCAACAUCAGUUUUGGGAGCAGGAUAAAUCUGUAGGACGUAGCUUUCUUCGGGAAGUGUUAUAGCCUAUGGGAAUACUGCUACCUGGGA
rnacentral:rRNA from 1 species